rnacentral:rRNA from 1 species
GAUGAACGCUAGCGGCAGGCCUAACACAUGCAAGUCGAGGGGUAGUAUAGCAAUAUAUGAGACCGGCGCACGGGUGCGUAACGCGUAUGCAACCUACCUUUUACAGGGGAAUAGCCCAGAGAAAUUUGGAUUAAUGCCCCAUGGUGUAUUUGAGUGGCAUCACUUGAUUACUAAAGUUCCAACGGUAAAAGAUGGGCAUGCGUCCUAUUAGCUAGAUGGUAAGGUAACGGCUUACCAUGGCUACGAUAGGUAGGGGUCCUGAGAGGGAGAUCCCCCACACUGGUACUGAGACACGGACCAGACUCCUACGGGAGGCAGCAGUGAGGAAUAUUGGACAAUGGGCGCAAGCCUGAUCCAGCCAUGCCGCGUGCAGGAAGAAGCAUCUAUGGUGUGUAAACUGCUUUUGUACGGGAAGAAACACUCCUACGUGUAGGAGCUUGACGGUACCGUAAGAAUAAGGAUCGGCUAACUCCGUGCCAGCAGCCGCGGUAAUACGGAGGAUCCAAGCGUUAUCCGGAAUCAUUGGGUUUAAAGGGUCCGUAGGCGGUUUGAUAAGUCAGUGGUGAAAGCCCAUCGCUCAACGAUGGAACGGCCAUUGAUACUGUCAGACUUGAAUUACUAGGAAGUAACUAGAAUAUGUAGUGUAGCGGUGAAAUGCUUAGAUAUUACAUGGAAUACCAAUUGCGAAGGCAGGUUACUACUAGUGGAUUGACGCUGAUGGACGAAAGCGUGGGGAGCGAACAGGAUUAGAUACCCUGGUAGUCCACGCCGUAAACGAUGGAUACUAGCUGUUCGGGGCAACCUGAGUGGCUAAGCGAAAGUGAUAAGUAUCCCACCUGGGGAGUACGUUCGCAGAUGAA